ensembl:piRNA 21ur-1917 ncRNA
UCGCCGAAAUAUUUGAAUCCA